rnacentral:rRNA from 1 species
AUGACCAUGCCAUUGACGAGCUUGCCAUCACCAUCACCGAGCUUCCACUCGAGACGCCUUCCGUCUGAGGCAGUACGGCGGGUUCUGGCUGCUGGAGAAGUUCCUCCAGGGCGUUCCGGCCGUCCACUCCGUCUUCGAGCCGAGGCCAGCUUUCCCAAGUGCGGCACCACCUGGCUCAAGGCCCUCGCCUUCGCCACGCGCAAUCGGGCCGAGCACCCGCCGCGUGGCCUCGACCACCCGCUCCUCCGUCGCAACCCCCAUGACAUCGUCCAGUACCUGGAGCUGCAGUUCGCGCAAUCCAUGGGCCACGUGGUGGCGGUGUUGCUGCUGUCAAGUUUGUUCAGUUGUAUCAUGUAG